UUACUAUGAUAAUCCAUACGUUCAUUAUUUUUAUUAUUACUAUUACUGUUACCACUUAAAUUGGAGUAAUUGUUUUCAUUGUAGUUAUUGCUUUUAUUUUGUUUAGGUUGGUACAUACUUUUUUUAUAAUUAACGUGUUCGUCUUUUUCAGUUUGUUUGUUAUUUGCAUGUUUCUUAUAAUUUUGAUGCUCAUUGGGUUUGGGGCCAUUUGAUUGAUAGUCAUUUGACUUGAAACCAUUUGGCUUGGAACUAUUUGACUUGGGACCNNNNNNNNNNUCAUUUGACUUGAAACCAUUUGGCUUGGAACUAUUUGACUUGGGACCACUUGACUGAUAAUCAUUUGACCUGGGACCAUUUGGCUUAGAACUAUUUGACUUGGGACCAUUUGGCUUGAAAUUAUUUGACUUGGGACCAUUUGACUGAUAAUCAUUUGACCUGGGACCACUUGACUGAUAGUCAUUUGACCUGGGACCAUUUGACUUGGAACCAUUUAACCUGGGACCAUUUGACCUGGGCCCACUUGACUUAGGACCACUUGAUUGAUAGCCAUUUGACUGAUUGUUGUUAUUUCUAUUGACCCAAUUAUUCUGUGCAUUGUUAUUAUGAUUAUUUCUAUCCCUUUCUUCCUUUCUACCCAUUGUAUUACGAUUAUUAUUCAACAUGUUAUCAAAAACGACAUAUUUUCCUUUCUUCUGGUUUAAAGCUGCGUUAUCUAAUUUAUUUGGGUUUUUCCUCUUUGAACUUGAAAAAGCAUCAUUAUCCAUAUUUUUUUUUUUUUUUUUUUUUUCUAUAAAUCCGUUGCGUUCGUCUUUUCCGCUAUUUCCGUCCUUUCCUACUUUAACUUAUUACGUUAUUGUUAGACCCCCUUUUUUUUUCUUAUUUAAGUUGUUUCGUCCUAUGUUUCGUCCUACGUUUCGUUCUACGUUUCGUCCUACGUUUCGUUCUACGUUUCGUCCUACGUUUGAUUACGUUUGAUUACGUUUGAUUAUGUUUGAUUAUGUUUGAUUAUGCUUGAUUUUUUUUUUUUUUUUUUUUUUAUACAACUUAUUUACAAAUAUUAAAAAAAAAAAUAAGCACUUGUAUGAGUAACUUGUGGCAACAUACAAAGUACAUACAAACUUAAAAUAUGUGUAUAUUUUAACUAUUAAACAUAGUAAUAAAAAAAAAAAAUGCAUGCA
rnacentral:lncRNA from 1 species